rnacentral:lncRNA from 1 species
GAAGAGUACAGGCCCAUCAGAGGAUACCACUGAAUCCAUGCUCCACAGCAGUUCCCAGCAAGCUGCACUCUUCGAAGGCGGGAUGCUGAAACCUCUGCCCCCACCCCCUACAUUAGCUUUAUAUCCAAAUGUGACUCGGAGGCUGGUGAGCUCAAGGUGAUCAAUGACAGCUCCAAUCAAAGCCACCCAGUAGACAGUGCACUCACCACUCCUUGAUAUAAAAGGUGUUUUAUUUCUCAUCCUUUUAUUUUUGUCACUGAAAGAAUGCUUCCCAUGUGUGGAUUAAUUAAAGUGUAAACAUUAAAUAUUGAUUGAUGCAUUAUCAGCAUGGAGCAGUGGCCUCCUGUCUGAUUGAUUCCUGCAGUGAUUUAUUGUCAUAUUUGGGGAGUCAUUUCAUUUGAUAACCAAGAGGGAUCGCCUG